UAGAAGAUGAAAAAUGUCAGUUGGUUCAUGGCUAUAUUUUAAUUCCAUGUAGUAUUAAUAGAUGAAAGCUUUUCUCACAACUUUGAAACAACAUAUUUUCCAUGUGGUAAAAUACCAGAUCAGGCAGUUUAGCGAUAGGUUCUUUCAUGAACAAGUGAGUACUUCUUAGCUGCCUAUCAGUUGAACUGCAGUGUGUAGCGAUAGGACAAGGAGUAAUGGCCUAAAACUUGAACAUAGGAAGUUCUGUACUAACAUGCAGAAGAACAGCUGGAACAGCUUGUCCAGAGAGUUUGUGUAGUCUCCUUCUAUGGAGAUAUGCCCAUCUGGAUGCCUACCUGUGCAACCUAUUGUAGGGGUGUUGGACUCAAUUAUUGCUUGGAGUUCUUUCCAGCCUCUUCAAUUCUGUGAUUCUGUGCCAUUAAAUAUGCAGCUCAGCCAGUCUCAUGGAGGAUUUUUUUUAUAAAUUCAUUUUCCUUUGCAUAUGCAACAGAAUAGGAGAGCACGUGGAGCAGUCACUACUGAUAGUGGAUAGCUCAUGACAUCUUACCGUCAUGAAGGAAAAAGAAAUGGGAACUAGGAAGCAGAAGAACUUCUGACUGUUUUACCAAUGAACUGGAUUUGGAGUGGUGGAGAAAAGCUAAUGGUGGUGAAAACAGAUGGGCAUGAAGAUCGGACAGCAAAGCAGCUUUCCCCUUCAUUCAGUUUAAGUUCAUUGGUAAAAGAGCACCUCAGACUAACUUCCCAAGAGGUCCAUCAAGAGAAAGUCUGAGAACACAGCGUGGUGCACAGGGGGCAGCAGAUGGAGAUGUGUAACAGCUGUAUGCUUCAUGUGGGCUCUGCAGUGACACUGGAGGAGGCAGCUGCUGUCAAUACGUUGCCCAAGGAAUUUUCUCAUGAAGUCCCAUUUUCAUAUACUAUUGCUAUCCAUCAGUGCUGAGGAAAGAAAGCUGAAGGCCGUCGCUGACAGCAUCACUCUACCUGAUGAGAGAUUUCAAAACUAUGGACUCAAAAGAGAGUUUCCCACCCAGGAAGCAAUAUGUUGGAGUUGAAAUGGCUUACACGUACUGAGUCCACUUUAAUAGGAGUGAAUUAUCCCAAUAUCUAAGAACCUGAAGAAUUUAGGAAAUAUUUUACAAUUGCUUUUUACUGAGGUAGGAAAGUAUUGAAUUCAGGAGCAGAAUCUGUGGGCUUGUUCUUAAAACAAGUGCCCCAAGGCAAAAAAGCACGACUCACCUUUUCAGCUAAAUUAAGGUAUCCUUCCCUCCUGGGACACCACCACCGAUGUUGUUACAGCUGCUUCCUUGUGGCACUUUCUGGGCCAUUGUGUGUCCUUUUCGUACAGAUCUCCUGAAAUAGUUCUGCUGCACUUGUGAUCAGGCUGACAGCGAUCCCAGGGACACAUGGUAGAGCAGCAGAGAGAUACUGCGAACUGUAUCAGCCAGUCUGGGUACAUGGAGAAUCCUGUCCGAAUGUCUUAAUAGGGCCCAUCCAUGCUUCUG
ensembl:lncRNA